UUCCAAUGUCUAAAAUGGUGGCACCGAUGAAGAAUCUCUCAUAUAUAUGCUAGUUUUACUUAAUGCUUUCCAUUGGCAUAUAAGCACCAAUUGUGGGUAGGUAGGUAUAUAUGUAGGUAGGUAGGUAGGUACAUUAUUGAUUGAUUAUUGACUACAACAAAAGGUAUUUUCAUUGGUGCGUCUCUUAGAUUAAUAGAUCGAGGCAGGUGGUCUAUCUCCUCUACCAAAUGUUGUCUAUUAGUGGGCCAUUUGUAGAGAUGAUCAGUCAGGCUGCCCUGUAAACUAAUUAACACAGACCAACUAGGAUGUGUAUAGCAAGCACAACAUAUCGAAGACGAUGCCGCUAACCUUGAAUUUCUGGUUUCCAGUAGGAGCCAUGUUGCUACCAUGUGACAAGCCUUGGUAUGGCUAUAUUUUGGUUCACUAGUUUCACCAAGCCAAACUCGUGC
rnacentral:lncRNA from 1 species